rnacentral:lncRNA from 1 species
GAUAAGGGAAGCAAAUAUGCUUGAAUGAUAAAGGGAAUGGCCACUUUGUAUACAUCCUAACGAGCAACGGGUAUCCAGACCCUGAGCCAAGAAGCCGGUUGGGGAAUAUAUUGGCCCGGUAACGAGACAUCUUUGGUGCAUUUUGGCACGCAACACAAGUACAGAAAGGGCCAAGGUCUAAAAUAAUGAAGGACCCAGCGAGAUAAAAUAGGGAAAGGGCCAAGGUCUUGAAAUAAUAAAGGACGCAGCGAGAUAAAAUAAUGAAAAGGAAGUGCGUCCGUGCAUUUUCUUCUUCGCUGGUUCUUGACUACCUGACAAUGUUAUUGCUGCUUCCAAAAACAAAAAGGGCAAAAAAUUACUAAAACACUCCAUAACAUUAGGUCAAUUUUACUAAGUAUCUCUGGAGUUUAAAAAAUUUUAAAAUAAUUCUCCAAAUUAGUUAAGUAAUUUAAUAUAGUCUAACCAUCCAUUUUUGUUUAUUUGAGCUUAUAGGAUUCUAUUAUGUAAUGGUCAGAUGAAAUUUUAAUU